rnacentral:rRNA from 1 species
UUGGAGGGCAAGUCUGGUGCCAGCAGCCGCGGUAAUUCCAGCUCCAAUAGCGUAUAUUAAAGUUGUUGCAGUUAAAAAGCUCGUAGUUGAAUUUCGGGAUCAUCAGGUUGGUCGUGCCACUGGUAUGUACUUGCCUCGGUGGUCCCUCCCUCUUGAAGAACCGUAAUGCCAUUAAUUUGGUGUUGCGGGGAAUCAGGACUGUUACUUUGAAAAAAUUAGAGUGUUUAAAGCAGGC